AGCACAGGUAGCAAUACUGGGUGGCGAGUGGCGCACGGGUGCGUAACGCGUAUGCAAUCUACCUCUAACAGGGGGAUAGCCCGAAGAAAUUCGGAUUAAUACCCCAUAAUAUAUUUAUCUCGCAUGGGAUUGGAUAUUAAAGUAACAACGGUUAGAGAUGAGCAUGCGUGACAUUAGCUAGUUGGUAAGGUAACGGCUUACCAAGGCAACGAUGUCUAGGGGGUCUGAGAGGAUUAUCCCCCACACUGGUACUGAGACACGGACCAGACUCC
rnacentral:rRNA from 1 species